rnacentral:piRNA from 1 species
UGAACCUCAUCAGUCAGCUCACAACAGUGC